UCGACGAUGACCACUUCGGUGGGGAUUAGUGGCGAACGGGUGAGUAACACGUGGGCAAUCUGCCCUGCACUCUGGGACAAGCCCUGGAAACGGGGUCUAAUACCGGAUACUGACCCGCCUGGGCAUCCAGGCGGUUCGAAAGCUCCGGCGGUGCAGGAUGAGCCCGCGGCCUAUCAGCUUGUUGGUGAGGUAACGGCUCACCAAGGCGACGACGGGUAGCCGGCCUGAGAGGGCGACCGGCCACACUGGGACUGAGACACGGCCCAGACUCCUACGGGAGGCAGCAGUGGGGAAUAUUGCACAAUGGGCGAAAGCCUGAUGCAGCGACGCCGCGUGAGGGAUGACGGCCUUCGGGUUGUAAACCUCUUUCAGCAGGGAAGAAGCGAAAGUGACGGUACCUGCAGAAGAAGCGCCGGCUAACUACGUGCCAGCAGCCGCGGUAAUACGUAGGGCGCGAGCGUUGUCCGGAAUUAUUGGGCGUAAAGAGCUCGUAGGCGGCUUGUCGCGUCGGUUGUGAAAGCCCGGGGCUUAACCCCGGGUCUGCAGUCGAUACGGGCAGGCUAGAGUUCGGUAGGGGAGAUCGAAAUUCCUGGUGUAGCGGUGAAAUGCGC
rnacentral:rRNA from 1 species